GCGAGCUGGAGCACGAAACGCUGCUACGGCAGAGGAAACUCCUCCCUCCAUACAGGAAAUGUGAUUCGGAGAUGAAUAAUCAGAGAUGGUUGGCAACAGUUCAGAAAUUAAUCCAAACUGGAGCACUAUGAUGGUAAAACCUGAGAUUUCCAGUCAAGGAAUGAAAAGCCUGACCCACAUGGAGCAAGGCCAAACAGAGCUAUAGGGCCUGUACCAAGCUCAGGUAGGCUGCAUAGCGAAAUAUCGUGAAAACAGAAGGAGGGUUACUCCCAGCACGC
rnacentral:RNase_P_RNA from 1 species